CCUACGGGAGGCAGCAGUGGGGAAUUUUGCGCAAUGCUCGUAAGAGUGACGCAGCGACGCCGCGUGAAUGACGAAGGCCUUCGGGUCGUAAAGUUCUUUCGACAGGGAAGAAAAUGCCUAUAAGUAACUGUGUAUGUAUUGACGGUACCUGUAUAAGCAGCCCCGGCUAACUCCGUGCCAGCAGCCGCGGUAAUACGGAGGGGGCGAGCGUUGUUCGGAGGGACUGGGCGUAAAGAGCACGUAGGCGGUGUUGUAAGUCAUUAGUCAAAGACUAGAGCUCAACUUUAGUAAGGCUAGUGAUACUAUAAUACUAGAGUAUCAGAGAGGAUUGCAGAAUUCCUGGUGUAGCGGUGAAAUGCGUAGAUAUCAGGAGGAAUACCGUUAGCGAAGGCGGCAAUCUGGCUGGAAACUGACGCUGAGGUGCGAAAGCGUGGGUAGCAUACAGGAUUAGAUACCCUUGUAGUC
rnacentral:rRNA from 1 species